rnacentral:misc_RNA from 1 species
CUCAUUUCGGUACAGAGCGCACAAGUGCAGAGUCGUAUAUGCGAGAUGCGAGCACGUCAGCACCGUAGUUUUUACCGUGUGGCGCUGAUUCUCAUGAGUAUAAAACUUUUUUCAAAAUGUGAUGGCGGCUCAUCGAAACACUCCGAAUACAAGAGGGCCCAACCGACAAGGAAGAAAGAAAAAAGGCGAAAGAAAGGACAUUUCGUUCGAGGAACAACAAAGAACGUUCAUAUUAAGGAAUCUCCGUUGCCUAAAACUCGGACAAGAAUAGCGUACUGGGGCUACACCCGUAUCAAACAAAAGAGCUCGAGGAACCAGAAGCUAGGAAGCCAGUGAGUUGAUCUUGGGCGUGCAGAUUCUGGCUUUCUAUUCGUCUUACAGAAAUUAAUAAAAUGGAAAGCAAUGCAAAUAAAAGGUGGCAUCGUAAAGAAUGUGGUGCUUCAAGAAAAAUUAACAAAAAUCCAUUUCCAUCAAAGGGCAAACAGUUUUUUGCAAAUGCAUGUCACGUUUGUCGAGCCUAUGGAAAAGAUGUGAAGGCUGCAGAAUAAUAGCCUAUUGCAGUCGAGCACAUCAGAUGAAGCAUUGGCCAGAACACAAAUAUCUUUGUAAAGAGAUCAGCAAUGGAGUUGACAUUGCUGAAAAACUCAUUGAAGAAGCUUCAUCUUCAAAAAACUCAGAGUUAUCUUGGACAGAAGUUCAGCAUAACAUCAUUAAAUCCGUGGCUAUGGCUUCACGUUAUCAGCUUUCAUUCGAGGAGAGUGUCCAGCUGCUAGUUUUUGCAUCAAACAUCCAAAGGACAGCAAACAUUCUGUCAAGUGCGAAACAAUGAAAUUAUGUUUAGAAUAUGAUGGUCUACAUCUUGAAUGUGACAAUCUGUCAGUCUAUAAUGAUAUGAGUACUCCGCUGAAUAUCAAUGAAGUCAUCGGCCCCUACUUAUCACGUGCCUCGGUUGUCAAACAUAUUAAGUCUGAAAAAAUCUGGACAAUCUUUCUUUCUGAACGAUUAACAAGACCCUACACUUUGUUGCAUUCGAUGGAAAAAUUGCCGCAUCCAAAAUUGCACAAAAUGACCAUUCACGUAAUUGGUUCAGAUAGGAAUGAAAUGGAACAAGUGCGCUUGUGGUUUUAUUUAAUACAUCACAAUAAAACUCUGAGAGAGCUCAAAAUUGUAUUUAUUGGUCCAGAACUUGAGUCGAGUUCUCACGAAUUUAACAUCUGUGACGAGCGCACGAAGAACACUUAUAAAAUGAAAGUGUACACUGUAAGCAGCCUAUAUGCAGAAUUUGCAGCUGAGCAAUUUUUCACAAAACCAGAUUACGUUAUUGGAUUUAAUUUGGAACUUUGCGCAUUUCCUCUCUGCCAAGACACCUGGGCUCCGACCAUUGAAGUUCUGGCUAAACUGGGUUGUCCUUUUUCUCUAACUGCGUACUGCUCCUAUGAGCAAAAAUGUGAACAAGAAAGAAUCAAUCUAUUUCUUGAUAAAGAAAUAGAACCACUUUGGGCUGGCAAAAAUCCAUUUUCUGGCUUGAGACCUUUUCGAGAAGUAGAAGAUGAGUUCUGUUAUGUUAAUCAGUAUUUGACUGUUUACGAAAAAUUGUGUUGUUUUUUUGUUUUUUUUUUUUUUUUUCAAAUGAAAUUUACCUCGACAAUCUAACAACACAAUAAAAAAUGGAAAAUCAGGAAAAAACUGUAACGUAAGUUAAUUCGUUGGAAAAUGAUAACAUUUAUUUCCAUUGUUUUUUGUUUGCCUCUGACACUUGCUAGCAAUUAAAAUCCUAAACUUGUUGGGAAAACUUUAGCUAAUAUGUUCCGGUGAAAAAACGUAUGACCAAAAAAAAGUCAUAUUAGUAACAAAAUAAUUUUUUCUUUAAUAUUAUAUAAAACAAUCUCUGGAGAUAUGUUUCUUUCAAAUGAAAUUCACCUCGACAAUCGAACAACACAAAAAAUGGAAAAUCAGGAAAAAUAUUAGAACCUAAUUUAUAUUGUCGAAGGAUGAUAACAUUUAUUACAUUUUUUUUUACUGUUAACACUUAUUAGCGAUUCGAAUCCUAAACUUGUUGAAAUUUUAGCUAAUGUUUCGGUGAAAAAAGGUCUGGCUAAAAAGUCAUUUUUUUUUCUUUUAUCCUUUUUAUCUUUUUUUUAAUUCUUUCACUAUUACUGCACAAAGUUUUAAAAACUCUCCUAUAAAGUAAAAAUCUAUAAGUAUUUGAAAGUUUAAAAAAAUUUGUCCAUACUCUA